rnacentral:rRNA from 1 species
UGUCCCGAUCUUGACGACAGCAGCACACAUGACAGUACGAGCGGAUGAAAGGGAGCUUGCUCCUGGAUUCAGCGGCGGACGGGUGAGUAAUGCCUAGGAAUCUGCCUGGUAGUGGGGGAUAACGUCCGGAAACGGGCGCUAAUACCGCAUACGUCCUGAGGGAGAAAGUGGGGGAUCUUCGGACCUCACGCUAUCAGAUGAGCCUAGGUCGGAUUAGCUAGUUGGUGGGGUAAAGGCCUACCAAGGCGACGAUCCGUAACUGGUCUGAGAGGAUGAUCAGUCACACUGGAACUGAGACACGGUCCAGACUCCUACGGGAGGCAGCAGUGGGGAAUAUUGGACAAUGGGCGAAAGCCUGAUCCAGCCAUGCCGCGUGUGUGAAGAAGGUCUUCGGAUUGUAAAGCACUUAAAGUGGGGAGGAAAGGCAGUAANGGUUAAUACCUUGCUGUUUUGACGUUACCAACAAGAAUAAAGCACCGGGCUAACUUUCGUGCCAGCAGCCGCGGUAAAUUACGAAAGGGUGCAAGCGUUAAUCGGAAUUNCUGGGCGUAAAGCGCGCGUAGGGUGGUUCAGCAAGUUGGAUGUGAAAUCCCCGGGCUCAACCUGGGAACUGCAUCCAAAAACUACUGAGCUAGAGUAC